ACAUUUCCCAGUUGACUACUACCGGUAAUAAAAUCAAAUGGAUUCAGUGCUCACAACUCUUCAGUCUUUGGGCUACUUUCCAUUCUUGAAUUUUUAGCUGAAUUCAUCUCUUUGGCUGGAUUUUGUGGUAAAGUAGUUUUUUGCUUAUUUUUUCCCCCAAGAAGGGCUUACAUGGGUCUUUUUCUAUGAAUUAUUUUCCUACUUGACAAUAUUUACUUGUUACUUUUUUACUUUCAUCAUGCCUUGGGCGCAUAUAAUACUCUCCCUUCACAUUUUCUUUCCUUGAAUUUGUGGAGAAUUUUCCAUUUUAUUCUUGCAGUCAACUUUACUGAAAACAAAUCUGAAAUAAAAUUAAUGUUAUUCUACCGUAUAGGCGAUUGGCUUUUUAGUCCCAAGAUGCCUAAAAAUAAGUUACCCUUAACACAUAAUAGCUUAACUUAGUUAGGUCUAGAAAUUGAGGGUUUGUUUUGUACCACAUUUUCUAGAAAGAGUGCUCCUUCAACCUAAAGAUUUACUUAGCUUUUUUUCAGGAAAUUUCUUGGAUUAGAUCUUAGAAUAAAUAUUUAUUUUCAUUUGUUAAAUUCUCUACUUCAGGAAUAUCUGUUAACAUUGUGUUGGAUUUUUUUGUUUAAAGUAUUCACUUUUCUCUAAUUGCUUUUAUCUCCUUAUCUGUUCAUCUUCCUUCACUAUAAUUAUCUUAAUCCCCAUUUCUCUGUAUCAGUAACUUAAUUUUCAAUUGCAUCCAUUGUUUUUCUAAUUUAUGUAUUAGUUUCAUAAGGCUAUUGUUUUGAGUUCUUUCCCCC
rnacentral:lncRNA from 1 species